CACGUAGGGGACGAGCGUUGUCCGGAAUUAUUGGGCGUAAAGAGCUCGUAGGCGGUUUGUCGCGUCGGCUGUGAAAACUCGGGGCUCAACCCCGAGCCUGCAGUCGAUACGGGCAGACUAGAGGUAUGCAGGGGAGAACGGAAUUCCUGAUGUAGCGGUGAAAUGCGCAGAUAUCAGGAGGAACACCGGUGGCGAAGGCGGUUCUCUGGGCAUUACCUGACGCUGAGGAGCGAAAGUGUGGGGAGCGAACGGG
rnacentral:rRNA from 1 species